UCGUCACACUAUCAUUAACUGAAUCCAUAGGUUAAUGAGGCGAACCGGGGGAACUGAAACAUCUAAGUACCCCGAGGAAAAGAAAUCAACCGAGAUUCCCCCAGUAGCGGCGAGCGAACGGGGAGGAGCCCAGAGCCUGAAUCAGCAUGUGUGUUAGUGGAAGCGUCUGGAAAGGCGCGCGAUACAGGGUGACAGCCCCGUACACAAAAGCGCAUGUGCUGUGAGCUCGAUGAGUAGGGCGGGACACGUGGUAUCCUGUCUGAAUAUGGGGGGACCAUCCUCCAAGGCUAAAUACUCCUGACUGACCGAUAGUGAACCAGUACCGUGAGGGAAAGGCGAAAAGAACCCCGGCGAGGGGAGUGAAAAAGAACCUGAAACCGUGUACGUACAAGCAGUGGGAGCACCCUUUGGGUGUGACUGCGUACCUUUUGUAUAAUGGGUCAGCGACUUAUAUUCUGUAGCAAGGUUAACCGAAUAGGGGAGCCGGAGGGAAACCGAGUCUUAACUGGGCGUUAAGUUGCAGGGUAUAGACCCGAAACCCGGUGAUCUAGCCAUGGGCAGGUUGAAGGUUGGGUAACACUAACUGGAGGACCGAACCGACUAAUGUUGAAAAAUUAGCGGAUGACCUGUGGCUGGGGGUGAAAGGCCAAUCAAACCGGGAGAUAGCUGGUUCUCCCCGAAAGCUAUUUAGGUAGCGCCUCGUGAAUUCAUCUCCGGGGGUAGAGCACUGUUUCGGCUAGGGGGCCAUCCCGGCUUACCAACCCGAUGCAAACUGCGAAUACCGGAGAAUGUUAUCACGGGAGACACACGGCGGGUGCUAACGUCCGUCGUGAAGAGGGAAACAACCCAGACCGCCAGCUAAGGUCCCAAAGUCAUGGUUAAGUGGGAAACGAUGUGGGAAGGCCCAGACAGCCAGGAUGUUGGCUUAGAAGCAGCCAUCAUUUAAAGAAAGCGUAAUAGCUCACUGGUCGAGUCGGCCUGCGCGGAAGAUGUAACGGGGCUAAACCAUGCACCGAAGCUGCGGCAGCGACACUGUGUGUUGUUGGGUAGGGGAGCGUUCUGUAAGCCUGUGAAGGUGUGUCGUGAGGCAUGCUGGAGGUAUCAGAAGUGCGAAUGCUGACAUAAGUAACGAUAAAGCGGGUGAAAAGCCCGCUCGCCGGAAGACCAAGGGUUCCUGUCCAACGUUAAUCGGGGCAGGGUGAGUCGACCCCUAAGGCGAGGCCGAAAGGCGUAGUCGAUGGGAAACGGGUUAAUAUUCCCGUACUUGGUGUUACUGCGAAGGGGGGACGGAGAAGGCUAUGUUGGCCGGGCGACGGUUGUCCCGGUUUAAGCGUGUAGGUGUGUGUUCCAGGUAAAUCCGGUUCACUUUAACACUGAGGCGUGACGACGAGGCACUACGGUGCUGAAGCAACAAAUGCCCUGCUUCCAGGAAAAGCCUCUAAGCAUCAGGUAACAUCAAAUCGUACCCCAAACCGACACAGGUGGUCAGGUAGAGAAUACCAAGGCGCUUGAGAGAACUCGGGUGAAGGAACUAGGCAAAAUGGUGCCGUAACUUCGGGAGAAGGCACGCUGACACGUAGGUGAAGUGAUUUACUCAUGGAGCUGAAGUCAGUCGAAGAUACCAGCUGGCUGCAACUGUUUAUUAAAAACACAGCACUGUGCAAACACGAAAGUGGACGUAUACGGUGUGACGCCUGCCCGGUGCCGGAAGGUUAAUUGAUGGGGUCAGCGCAAGCGAAGCUCCUGAUCGAAGCCCCGGUAAACGGCGGCCGUAACUAUAACGGUCCUAAGGUAGCGAAAUUCCUUGUCGGGUAAGUUCCGACCUGCACGAAUGGCGUAAUGAUGGCCAGGCUGUCUCCACCCGAGACUCAGUGAAAUUGAACUCGCUGUGAAGAUGCAGUGUACCCGCGGCAAGACGGAAAGACCCCGUGAACCUUUACUAUAGCUUGACACUGAACAUUGAGCCUUGAUGUGUAGGAUAGGUGGGAGGCUUUGAAGUGUGGACGCCAGUCUGCAUGGAGCCGACCUUGAAAUACCACCCUUUAAUGUUUGAUGUUCUAACGUGGACCCGUUACCCGGGUUGCGGACAGUGUCUGGUGGGUAGUUUGACUGGGGCGGUCUCCUCCUAAAGAGUAACGGAGGAGCACGAAGGUUGGCUAAUCCUGGUCGGACAUCAGGAGGUUAGUGCAAUGGCAUAAGCCAGCUUGACUGCGAGCGUGACGGCGCGAGCAGGUGCGAAAGCAGGUCAUAGUGAUCCGGUGGUUCUGAAUGGAAGGGCCAUCGCUCAACGGAUAAAAGGUACUCCGGGGAUAACAGGCUGAUACCGCCCAAGAGUUCAUAUCGACGGCGGUGUUUGGCACCUCGAUGUCGGCUCAUCACAUCCUGGGGCUGAAGUAGGUCCCAAGGGUAUGGCUGUUCGCCAUUUAAAGUGGUACGCGAGCUGGGUUUAGAACGUCGUGAGACAGUUCGGUCCCUAUCUGCCGUGGGCGCUGGAGAACUGAGGGGGGCUGCUCCUAGUACGAGAGGACCGGAGUGGACGCAUCACUGGUGUUCGGGUUGUCAUGCCAAUGGCACUGCCCGGUAGCUAAAUGCGGAAGAGAUAAGUGCUGAAAGCAUCUAAGCACGAAACUUGCCCCGAGAUGAGUUCUCCCUGAGACUU
rnacentral:rRNA from 1 species